UGGGGAAUUUUGGACAAUGGGCGAAAGCCUGAUCCAGCAAUGCCGCGUGUGUGAAGAAGGCCUUCGGGUUGUAAAGCACUUUUGUCCGGAAAGAAAUCCUCUGGGUUAAUACCUCGGGGGGAUGACGGUACCGGAAGAAUAAGCACCGGCUAACUACGUGCCAGCAGCCGCGGUAAUACGUAGGGUGCAAGCGUUAAUCGGAAUUACUGGGCGUAAAGCGUGCGCAGGCGGUUUUGUAAGACGGAUGUGAAAUCCCCGGGCUUAACCUGGGAACUGCAUUCGUGACUGCAAGGCUAGAGUAUGGCAGAGGGGGUNGAAUUCCACGUGUAGGCAGUGAAAUGCGUAGAGAUGUGGAGGAAUACCGAUGGCGAAGGCAGCCCCCUGGGCCAAUACUGACGCUCAUGCACGAAAGCGUGGGGAGCAAACAGGAUUAGAUACCCUGGUAGUCCACGCCCUAAACGAUGUCAACUAGUUGUUGGGGACUUCAUUUCCUUAGUAACGUAGCUAACGCGUGAAGUUGACCGCCUGGGGAGUACGGUCGCAAAGAUUAAAACUUAAAUGAAUUGACGGGG
rnacentral:rRNA from 1 species